GCCAAACCGUAACAUACCUCUGAUGCAACUAGGGCUGUCUUGAAUGCCAUUUUUUGGGGUUCGAAGCCUCUGUGAGAAAUAAUUGAAGGUAUUCGAAGCUUCGCGGAUUAGCGCAGCAGGCUGACAUGUUCGUCUGUCUGUCUCCAUCUUCCCCCCGUUUCGGUGCCGCUGUCGCACUACCGUACACACACGCAUUUCUACACAACAAAUAGCGAUAUUCCUCUGAGAA